rnacentral:tRNA from 1 species
GGAGAGGUCGCAUAGUGGCCGAGUGCGGCGGUUUGCUAAACCGUUGAAGGGGAUUUCCUCUUCCGAGGGUUCGAAUCCCUCCCUCUCCGCCA